UGGUAGCUGUAUAUGGAUGGAUCCC
rnacentral:misc_RNA from 1 species